UACGUAGGGGGCAAGCGUUGUCCGGAUUUAUUGGGCGUAAAGAGCGUGUAGGCGGCUAGGUAGGUCCGUUGUGAAAACUCGAGGCUCAACCUCGAGACGUCGAUGGAAACCAUCUAGCUAGAGUCCGGAAGAGGAGAGUGGAAUUCCUGGUGUAGCGGUGAAAUGCGCAGAUAUCAGGAAGAACACCCGUGGCUAAGGCGGUUCUCUAGUACGGUACUGACGCUGAGACGCGAAAGCGUGGGGAGCAAACAGG
rnacentral:rRNA from 1 species